rnacentral:tRNA from 1 species
CCGAGAAUAGCUCAGCGGUAGAGCGGGAGACUGUAGUCUAUCUGUUAUCUCUAGGUCCCUGGUUCAAAUCCGGGUUCUCGGA